CCUACGGGAGGCAGCAGUGAGGAAUAUUGGUCAAUGGGCGCGAGCCUGAACCAGCCAAGUAGCGUGAAGGAUGACUGCCCUACGGGUUGUAAACUUCUGUUAUGAAGGAAUAAAGUGAGGCACGUGUGCCUUUUUGUAUGUACUUUAUGAAUAAGGAUCGGCUAACUCCGUGCCAGCAGCCGCGGUAAUACGGAGGAUCCGAGCGUUGUCCGGAUUUAUUGGGUGUAAAGGGAGCGUAGAUGGGUUGUUAAGUCAGGUGUGAAAGUUUGCGGCUCAACCGUAAAAUGGCAAUUGAUACUGGCAGACUUGAGUACAGUUGAGGUAGGCGGAAUUCGUGGUGUAGCGGUGAAAUGCGUAGAUAUCGAGAAGAACUCUGAUUGCGAAGGCAGGCUACUAAAC
rnacentral:rRNA from 1 species